AGAGUUUGAUCCUGGCUCAGGACGAACGCUGGCGGCACGCUUAACACAUGCAAGUCGAACGAGAGAAGAGAAGCUUGCUUUUCUGAUCUAGUGGCGGACGGGUGAGUAACACGUGAGCAAUCUGCCUUUCAGAGGGGGAUACCGAUUGGAAACGAUCGUUAAUACCGCAUAACAUAAUUGAACCGCAUGAUUUGAUUAUCAAAGAUUUAUCGCUGAAAGAUGAGCUCGCGUCUGAUUAGCUAGUUGGUAAGGUAACGGCUUACCAAGGCGACGAUCAGUAGCCGACCUGAGAGGGUGACCGGCCACAUUGGGACUGAGACACGGCCCAGACUCCUACGGGAGGCAGCAGUGGGGAAUAUUGCACAAUGGAGGAAACUCUGAUGCAGCGAUGCCGCGUGAGGGAAGAAGGUUUUAGGAUUGUAAACCUCUGUCUUUGGGGACGAAAAAUGACGGUACCCAAGGAGGAAGCUCCGGCUAACUACGUGCCAGCAGCCGCGGUAAUACGUAGGGAGCGAGCGUUGUCCGGAAUUACUGGGUGUAAAGGGAGCGUAGGCGGGAUCGCAAGUCAGAUGUGAAAACUAUGGGCUUAACCCAUAAACUGCAUUUGAAACUGUGGUUCUUGAGUGAAGUAGAGGUAAGCGGAAUUCCUAGUGUAGCGGUGAAAUGCGUAGAUAUUAGGAGGAACAUCAGUGGCGAAGGCGGCUUACUGGGCUUUAACUGACGCUGAGGCUCGAAAGCGUGGGGAGCAAACAGGAUUAGAUACCCUGGUAGUCCACGCCGUAAACGAUGAUUACUAGGUGUGGGGGGACUGACCCCUUCCGUGCCGCAGCAAACGCAAUAAGUAAUCCACCUGGGGAGUACGACCGCAAGGUUGAAACUCAAAGGAAUUGACGGGGGCCCGCACAAGCAGUGGAGUAU
rnacentral:rRNA from 1 species